GACAGAGGGUGCAAACGUUGUUCGGAAUUACUGGGCGUAAAGCGCGUGUAGGCUGCUCGGAAAGUCGGAUGUGAAAGCCCUGGGCUCAACCUAGGAAGUGCAUUCGAAACUUCCGAGCUGGAGUGCUGGAGAGGAAGGCGGAAUUCUCGGUGUAGAGGUGAAAUCCGUAGAUAUCGAGAGGAACACCGGUGGCGAAGGCGGCCUUCUGGACAGCGACUGACGCUGAGACGCGAAAGCGUGGGGAGCAAACAGG
rnacentral:rRNA from 1 species